ensembl:misc_RNA 7SK 7SK RNA
GGAUGUGAGAGCGAUCAGGCUGUGACAUCUGUCACCCGAUUGAUCCCAGGGUUGAUUUGGGGGAUCUGGCUGGCGAGGUGGGUGUCCCCUUCCUCCCCCACCGCUCCAUGUGCAUCCCUCCCAAAGCUGUGUGCUCUGUGAAAGAGGGCGACCACCCUGAUGGAGGACAGUUUCCUUUGUCAAGUGUAUAUGAGUAGCUGCGCUCCCCUGCUAGAACCUCCAAACUCACUCUCAAGUACGUCCAGAUUUAGAUGGGGAGGCUGAAAGGCAGAACAGAAAACAGCUGCUUGCAGUUGCCAACAUUGAUACUAUUCUCAACAUUUUUACCAUACAAAACCUAUUUUGUCUAUUGUU